AAUGGGAGCGGAACAUAAGGUCUUAUUGCUCCACACAGAGGUCCGGUGGCUGUCGCGCGGCAAAGUGCUGGCCCGUGUGUAUGAGCUGCGAGAGGAAGUAUUUCGAGAGGUCCGAUUACUCAAAGCUGCUUGCAAGUGAUGAGUGGUGUGCAAAGCUGGCUGAUAUAUUUCAUCAUCUGCAUGAACUGAACACACGGAUGCAAGGCCGAAAGGAAAACCUGCUUACAAGCACUGAUAAAAUGAACGGAUUCCGUUUAAAGGUGCAGCUCUGGCAACAACAGGUGCAGCAUGGCAACCUUGAGAUGUUCCCGCUCACCGAGAAACGUCAUGACGACAACACUGCUGUAAUGUGCGAGGUGAUUGGCACACAUUUGAAAACUCUCGAGGAGAAGUUGUCAUUUUAUUUCUCUUCAGCCACAGAAUGCCUUGACUGGAUUAGGGACCCGUACAGCUCAGCAUCCGUUGCUGGAAAGGACAUGACUUUAAAGGAGCAAGAGGAACUCAUUGAACUGAAACAAGAUCGUGGUUUAAAGCUAAACUUUGCUGAUCUUCCUUUGGACAGUUUUUGGUUAUCUGUUGCCAAGGAGUUCCCCAUUCUGGCCAACAAAGCUAUUUUGACAUUGCUCCCGUUUUCAACCACAUAUCUAUGUGAGCUGAGCUUCUCAAGCUUGACCGCGAUAAAAAGGAAAAACAGAGCUGUUGAGGAAGAGCUUCGUGUGUGUCUUUCUACCAUUCCUGCCAGGAUAUCCAUGUUGUGUUCAUCGAAACAGGCCCAGGUUUCACACUAAAGAUCAGCCAGGAGCUCAGGAGCCAAGCGGAGAGCCUCCUCUGCCCCCCAUCUCCUCUGACCCCCCUCAGCAGCUGUGCAGAUGUGGCGGGGCUGUUUACAGUGGAGGGGGAGGUCGUCGAAGGGGAAACAGUGAUUGCACUGAGCCUUUGGAGGGAAGCUGCAGUCCGUGAUUGUGAGGUCUCAACCCCAGCGGGGCGGCAGGAGGCCGCAAGGGGGCGGCGAAGAACGCGUCCUCCGAAGCCAAUCACCAGAAUUCGGAACACCUGCGAGGGAGGAGACCUAUAAGAGCGAAGUGUGAGGUAUUGCAAGUACGCUUCUCAGCUGAACCCGUUGUUUCGCUGCCCCUGAAUUCCUGUAGAACCAGUGAGCUUCCGUGUAUCGACCUUCCGCCUUCUCUCGACUACGAACCUGCCUACUCCGUGGAUCAGAUCUGUCUCCGAACCACUGCCUGUCCCCGGAUUCCCCGUACUGCCUUAUCCCUUGAGACUACAAGUCCCAAAUAAACAUUGAGAGCUCUGCUCCUGGGUCUGGGUCUGUCUCCUGAGUCCAUUCGCUACAGAAAUGUGCUCCAAGUGGGGGGACACACCAGAGUGUCCCAUCUUAGAACCAACACGGGACGCAGGCGCAGUCCACCAAUAUUUCCACCAUUGAGGUAGCCCUACUCGGGUGUUACCGUAUUUAUCAUUAAAAGGUGUGUAUAUAAAUAGAACACAUUUAUUUCAUUAAGCUAUUUUGUUCACAUCUUAAAACUAUACACAGGAAGUCUCCUGAAGUGUUCAUUGUAAACGAAUAAAAGUAAAAAAUGUGAAAUGAAUAAGCAGUUGCUCUGGGUUAUCAUGUUCUGGUAAUUGGUGACAGAGCUAUACGUCAAUGUUUCCCUGGACAGAAGGUGAUAUCAGAGGAGGAGGUGGUUGAAGUGGAGGGCUCUCCAGACACCCUGUACCUCCUGAUGGAGGACGACCGCACCACCAACAUCAGCGCAGCGGGGGCCCAUUGACCCCCAAAUGAAAAGUCCACCCCUGAUGGGAAAAAUAAAAAUCGUUGGCAAUCAUGUUUCCAAAAUUGAAUUGUAAUCAAGAUUAAUUUGUUUGUUUCAUAUGUUCUUUGUUACUGAACGUUCUGUAAUGCAUUUGAGUUUUUUUACUGUGUUAAUUUUGUUGUUGGAUUGAUCAGUUUGUAUGAAUAGUUUUAAUGCUCAUUCAUCACUAAUAUUUGUAUUAUAAUGUAUAUAUGUAAUUUUAAAAUAUUUAAGUAUUGUUCUUCGAGUCUUUAUUCUUCUAUUUCUUCCGUGCGGCUUUCAACUGGGCGAGAAUGUAUGUGUUUAGGUUAUUGUUUCUCAGCCAGUGUUUUUAUCUUCAUAAAUGUAAUAAUUAAAAUACCUGACAUAUACUAUAUGUCCUUGUUUGUCACACCUGUAUGUCUAGUUGGGUUUUUGUCCUUUCUCUACGUUUGUUUUCGUGACUUCCUGUUUUUUGGCGAUUAAAAAUCUCCUCUCGUUUCAGGUUCCUUGUCCUUCCUGAUGUGU